rnacentral:rRNA from 1 species
UACGGAGGGGGCUAGCGUUGUUCGGAAUUACUGGGCGUAAAGCGCACGUAGGCGGCUUGGUAAGUUAGAGGUGAAAGCCUGGAGCUCAACUCCAGAAUUGCCUUUAAGACUGCCGAGCUAGCAGGUGAGAGAGGUGAGUGGAAUUCCGAGUGCAGAGGUGAAAUUCGUAGAUAUUCGGAAGAACACCAGUGGCGAAGGCGGCUCACUGGCCUGGUAUUGACGCUGAGGUGCGAAAGCGUGGGGAGCAAACAGG